rnacentral:lncRNA from 1 species
GGUCAAAACUUGAAUGUGAGAAGUCUCGUUUGUUGAUGAAAUUCGAUGUAUACAGGGGAGAAGGGGCAAGGGCAGAGAAGGCUUCUGGAUCAGUCAGUGGUCAGACAGUUCCUGCAGUUCCCUCUCUGAUGAGGAGAGUUUCGAGUUUCCAGUCUCUUCCUGCUGUUCCUGAGGACGGAAUCCCAGGACUGUGUUGUCCCACCUCCCGCCAGGACAGGGGGAACUCCCCCCCGGGCACCUGGGACCCCCCAGGAAAUGGGGGACACCCCUGCCGCAUUUUUCGGACCCUCCCGAGUCGCAGGCGGUCCGCAUGGAAGACAGCGAACCAAGGAGACGACAGUGACGCAUGCGCAGUAGCGACACCGAAGCCGCGCGGUUGCCAUGGCAACAACGGUCAAACAGGAAGUCGCUGCGGCGCAUGCGUAGAACUGACUAUGAAGCAGCACAGUUGCCAUGGCAAGAGCAAGCAAUUGACCGAGAGCAGGAGAGACACGUUUUUCAGCAAGAGAUACAGAAGCCGGAACAACUUCAGCUUAAGAUUCCACAAAGGAUUCAGCCUGUCAGUGAACAUCUGAGCAGAGAGGUAACGCGUGGUAUGACUUGAACUCAAGGAAUAGAAACGGUACGCUGAUGGCUGUUCAGAUCCUCUAAGGAAACUAAUUGAUGGUUUACCUAACAUGCAUCCAUUCAGAAGCCAGGAAAGUCCAUCCCCUCAGAUGAAGGGUACCAUGGUGGGCAAAUGUGGGGAAACUGUCCCCUGGGUGUUUUUUGAGUCAGUUGGUUGGGUGGUUUCAGUAGCAGAGACACAGAAACUUCAUAAUUUUCAAAAAGACUCACUUUUAGGAGUACUUUAGCAUUUCCCCGUGUUGUUCUGUGAUCCCCUGUUUGUAGGGCAGGUAGAAGCACGGCAGGGACGAUGUUACCAAGGCAUCAGACCUGAGAUGCAGUGGCACUCUCUGUGUGCACGUACCCAGGUGUCCUGCUUUGAAGUAAAACCGGACCAAUUUUGUGUUCUGUAACUUUAUAUUUUAGCUAGACCUCCUCUAACUCUCUGAAAUUAACGGCAUAUUGUGGAGAAAAGUGCUCAUUCUCCGAGUGAUAAGACCAAUGUUUGUGCUACAUGCCAAGGAAUGGUAUGCAGAGAGGCCCUUGCUUAUACUUCUUGCUAUAACAACCAAGGUCAGCCAAUUUGCGUUAUUUGCCCCUUAGAGGGUUGGAAAUGGAAAAACGUAGAGGGGUCACAUCUGUGGGGAGGAACGGACAGGACAGGAGAGGUGACCCAAAUCUGACCAACUGGGGUAUUCUAUCCCAUCUGCUCCCUGCUCAGUAUAAAAGCUUGAGGGAUCAAAGGGUCAACUCUCUUCCUGUGUUGGCCGACAUCCGAAGAGGACCCUGUCUGUUGAUCUGCCUUUGAUCCCGAUCUGUGUGUUCAUGACUCCAGAGCUGGAACCCAGUUCCCAUCUGUCGCUGCGCCCAGUCUGGGACUUCCUCAGUGCCUGCCAGUGAUGGGACUGUCAUCCUGGGAGUUUGAUACGGUUUUGUAUAUAUUGUAUCUAUUUCAUUAUUUUUUUCCUC